rnacentral:rRNA from 1 species
GUCCACGCCCUAAACGAUGUCAACUGGUUGUUGGGUCUUUACUGACUCAGUAACGAAGCUAACGCGUGAAGUUGACCGCCUGGGGAGUACGGCCGCAAGGUUGAAACUCAAAGGAAUUGACGGGGACCCCGCACAAGCGGUGGAUGAUGUGGUUUAAUUCGAUGCAACGCGAAAAACCUUACCCACCUUUGACAUGUAUGGAAGCCUUUGGAGACAGAGGCGUGCUCGAAAGAGAGCCAUAACACAGGUGCUGCAUGGCUGUCGU